rnacentral:lncRNA from 1 species
GCACAGGCUACGAGAAUUGGACAUUCUGGUUGGAGGUAAUCAAACUAUCUCACAAUUGAUCAUGGCUUCUGAUGAAGAGAUUCCUUGCAUCUUCAGACAGUCUUAAUCUAGUUUCUGAAACCUUGAUGCAACUGGCAUGCUUCCGUUGUGCAGGCCAACACAUCGGAACGUCUCAGGCUCGAUGUUGCUGUGGUGGACCUGCAUUUAACCGAGCAAACGACGAAAUUGAAAGGCCUUUUUCCAAGUUGGAUGGAUGUCAUUGGCUCAUUGCCUUCACAAGUUUCUUGUCUUCCUAUACCUUCUAAUCCCAUGCAUCCUUUUCUUCUUCGCCUAAUUUUUCCUUACUAUUGUGUAUAUUUACUUGGCUAGUCUCUUUAAUAUGGAUUUACAUACUGAUUGAAAUUUGAAACUAUUUUUCCAGUGAUUCAUAAUUGAUUGAUUGAAGAAACAUCUUGGUUGAAAUUCUUUCUUUUGAUGUAGUGAAAGUUUUUGGGCAUUAUAUAACUACUACUCUUUUUAGUAAGCAACAGAAACAAUUAUCAAAAGAAUUUGAAGUUUUAAGUGUUGACUACAAUGAUAGAUGAAAAGUAUAAUACUGAUCGUUACCAUUAAUAUUAUAAGCAAUGGUUAAUUUUUUAAACAUGAAUAUCUUAUUAUAAGGAACCCAUAAUCUUCAUUUAACGAUGUCAAGUAUCUUUUUUAUUUAGUUUUCCAGUAGAUCGAGUUUAUUUUGACGAAGUAAAUAACCAAUGUAUUUAUGUCACAUCAAUGUGACAAAUCUUAAGGAAAUGGAGNCUCUUACUACUAUAAUACUACUAAAUACUACUAUAUAUAUAUAUAUAUAUAUAUAUAUAUAUCUAUAUAUAUAUAUAUAGGAUCGCAUUCAAUGGAGACCAUCCCUUAGAUAAAGAAUGAAGACCAAAUCAAGGCCAUUCAUCUCAAUCCAAUCAAUGAUCCAGAUUAUUUCCUGAUUUGAUUUUUCAUGUAAUUAAAUAAUGGUUAAUUACAUUUAUUUAAUCCAAAAAGGGCAAAAACGUCCACUCAAAUCUACUGAAAUAUGGGAUCCCGUUGAACAAAUCCCGAAAAUUCUCUUUUCCCAUUCUGGGACCUGAUCCGUCAAUGAACAUAAUAGGUGAACAUUAGUAUGUUCAUUAUUUUCCUACGAACAUUUCGACGAACAUCAGUGUGUUCAUUGGUUUUUCUACGAACAUAUUGACGAAUAUUAGUAUGUUCAUUAGUUUUUCUACGAACAUCAAUAUGUUCAUUGGUUUUUCUACGAACAUAUUAACGAACAUCAGUAUGUUCAUUGAUAUUUUCUACGAACACUUCAUUGACGAUAUGCAGAUCUGCAAAUCCGGCGGCGGCGCGGCGCGGCGGUCGCCACCACGAGCGUUCUACCAUCGUCGUCUUCAUCGGCUUCACCCUAACGAUGCCGGGGCAGCACAGUCUCGAGAAUCCCUUCGCCUGCAACGCCAGCGGAGCAGCAGGAGGAGGAGGAGAUGGAGACAAUUGGGGAGGGAGGCGGUGGAAGGGAGAAUGGAGGGGAUGGCGGCGGAGAGAGCAGGAGAAGGAGGAUGGAAUGGAGGCGAGCAGCGAGAAGAGGCGACGGAGGGGAGGAGACGGGGAGCAGUAGGAGAGAUGGGGGCGGCGGAGCAGCAGGGAUGGGAGGCGGCGGGGAGGGGGAGAGUGAUUGAGAGAGAGAGAUAGAGAGAGAGAGAGCGUGAAUGAGAGAGAGUGAGUGAGAUUAGGGUUAAAUAGAAAAUGACAUGCUUAACCUUUUGAUUAUAAAAUAAAUGAAAAUUAAUAAAUUUAAUCAAUUAAAUUACCACCAUUAGAUUAAGUUAGAUCAAGGAACCAGAUUUGGUCUUCAUUCUCUAUAUAGGGGAGUGGUCUCCAUUGAACUCUCCCAUAUAUAUAUAUAUAUGGGAAGGCUAAAAUAAGAACGCUUCUUAAAAUAUAAAUUAGGAAUCAUUUUCAGCCCUUAGAUCAUCAAGAUCUACGGUUGAUUCAUCACCUUGUUGGAUGAAUUCAUGGUCCUGAGUUCGAAUCCCAAAGGUAGCAAAAAAUUUAUUUUCGCAAUUCAUACAUUUAUACAGUGUAUUCAUGCGUGUUAUACAUAUAAAAUUCAUACAUUUUUGAUGGUUCGUAAUUCUUAAAAUAAGGAUGGUUUAUUGAAUAACCGCCCCCUAUAUAUAUAUAUAUAUAUAUAUUAUUUUUGUUUAUCAUAUAAGUAUUCUAUUAAUAUAUGCAGUAAACUGAAAAGAUAUUUAAAAAAAGUGAAUCUACGAUCAACUAUAUCGCAAGACGGGUUGAAUGGUUUGGUUAUGUUAUCAAUUGAAAGAAAAUUGGUCGAUCAGUUAGAUUACAAACUUGAUAAAUACAUUUGCCUCUAAAACUGUAAUACGUGUUGUAUUUAGAUAAAGUAAGAAACAUAUCUUUAUUUUGAACUAAUUUUUAUUGUAUGUUCUAUCAAUAUUUCAUAUUAUUUAUUUUUUCUAAAAUUCUAAUAUUUUUGUCCUUUUUAUCCUUGCUAGAUAUACAAGAAAUUGUGUUUUGGUUAGAUAUUGUGAGGACAGAUUGCAUUCAAUACUGCUACUAUGGUGAACCAUAUUAUAAAGUAUUUAUUUACAUAGCUUCGUCUUAUGAAAGUUCUUUUCUUCAUUUAGAUCAUACCGUUAAUGUUGAAUUUCUUAAUAACUUAUCUUUUCUUCUCUUUUGAUUGAAAACUCUUUUGAAUAAUUGGUUGAAAAAGUUUGUGUUAAUAUAUUAUUGUUGUUUUAUCGAUAUAAAAAAAAUUAUAAGGGCCUAUUUUUUAAUUUUUGCUUAGGGCCCUGUGAGAUACAGGACCGGCCCUGAAUGUUAGCAUACACACCCUCACGUGCACCUCCAUGAACACCUAGUGUAUUGGAUGCAUGCAUCAUUAUUUCAAAAUGAAUACACUCUAGGUGUCAUGGAUGUGCCCACAAUGGGCGUGUAGGCUAGCAUUCACCUUUAUUUUCAAGUGGCUAAUUAUUGACUGCUCUCCGCAAUAACUCUGGUUCUACCCAAUAUGACAUCAAAUUUGUGGCACUAUUCUCAUCCAUUCGACAGAUGCAGAUCAAGUAUCUGGAGUUAGUUUUGAUUUUGCCGUAGUUGACUCCAAUUCCCUGAUGUUUGUUUUCCAUCAUGCACCUGACGCGGCAAAUGCACUGUAUGGUGAUAAAGAAAUAAGUUUUGACACGGUCACUCAAUCAGAUACUCAGAGAUGGACGGUAAUUUCUUAAGUUCUUUUUUUUUUACGUCUGUUUGACCCUAGUGAAUUGUCACGAUCUUUUAUGAAGAUAUCACAUGAAUAAGAAAUGAAUUCAUGAGUUUCCAUGACAGGAGUAGGUCCUUACCUGUAGGAAUCUUUCGGUUGUCGAGUUUGGUAUUGCCAACAAAGAGUUUCUGUUAUUACUAUCAUGGAUUUCACACCUCAUUGAAACAAAUACUAGUGUUUGUGAUAUAAUCCAUACUUGGUCAAGCCAUGCAAUUUAUACAUUCAGCAUAAAAAUUAAACAUUAGCCUCGUACUGCUUAUUAUUGACAUUGAAUAGCAAAAAAAAGUAGCCUUGGUACCUUUUGGUCCCAAUAUGGCUGGCUUCUCACAGCAUGAGCUUGAUUAGCAAAAGUACCUCUAAAUUUAUAAUUACAAUGGACACUGAUUACGAAUCCAAAUUCUCUUUUUUACAGGGAAUUUUUCCCAUUAAUGCUUUGUUUUCAAGAAGCCUGAAGUUUCCGACAACGAAUGAAGAAAUCUUGAAAGAAUACUCAAAAUUUCCACUUGUGACGUCUCACAUAUCCCCUAGCAUCUCGACUGAGGGAUCUCGGAGAGUCAACUUGGAGUUCUCGUUAGGGUAUGCUUUCUAAAAUUCUCCGCUGAUAUGUAUUUGAUAGAGUCCUUUGUCGGACGGCUUGCUUCCUGGAUUCUUCUUAAUACGAUGAAAUCUGCUGUUUGACUCCCUCAUGCAGUUCCUGAGGAGGUGUGGGUUGCAGUCCUCAACAUUACAGGACCGUUAUCAAAUUGGUCAUUUGCAAAUAACAUAGUUCCAGGUUGAUUGAAUUCCUUGUCCCAUCCCAACGUCAUUUUCUAUGUCGUACGCUAAUAUCUGUUCGAACUUUUGACAGCUACCGUUAGAAUUGGCAACGGGCCACCAUCAUACAUUUGCAGACUGAGCGGCACAGGCCACGAGAAUUGGACAUUCUGGUUGGAGGUAAUCAAACUAUCUCACAAUUGAUCAUGGCUUCUGAUGAAGAGAUUCCUUGCAUCUUCAGACAAUCUUAAUCUAGUUCUGAACCUUGAUGCAACUGGCAUGCUUCCGUUGUGCAGGCCAACACAUCGGAACGUCUGAGGCUCGAUGUUGCUGUGGUGGACCUGCAUUUAACCGAGCAAACGACGAAAUUGAAAGGCCUUUUUCCAA